rnacentral:rRNA from 1 species
AUUUAGAGGAAGUAAAAGUCGUAACAAGGUUUCCGUAGGUGAACCUGCGGAAGGAUCAUUACAAGUGAGGCUACCGAACGUUGGAAACAGCGGUUAGGAGCUUACACCCACCCGUGUUUACAUACUAUUGUUGCUUUGGCGGGCCGUGGCCUCCACUGCGGGCUCUGCUCGUGUGUGCCCGCCAGAGAACCAAACUCUGAAUGUUAGUGAUGUCUGAGUACUAUCUAAUAGUUAAAACUUUCAACAACGGAUCUCUUGGUUCUGGCAUCGAUGAAGAACGCAGCGAAAUGCGAUAAGUAAUGUGAAUUGCAGAAUUCAGUGAAUCAUCGAAUCUUUGAACGCACAUUGCGCCCUGUGGUAUUCCGCAGGGCAUGCCUGUUCGAGCGUCAUUUAACCACUCACGCCUAGCGUGGUAUUGGGGCACGCGGUCUCCGCGGCCCUCAAAAUUAGUGGCGGCGCCGGUGGGCUCUAAGCGUAGUACAUACUCCCGCUAUAGAGUUCCCCCCGGUGGCUCGCCAGAACCCCCAAUUUUUUACAGGUUGACCUCGGAUCAGGUAGGAUACCCGCUGAACUUAAGCAUAUCAAU